AUUGAACGCUGGCGGCAUGCCUUACACAUGCAAGUCGAACGGCAGCACGGGGCAACCUGGUGGCGAGUGGCGAACGGGUGAGUAAUGCAUCGGAACGUACCUUUCAGUGGGGGAUAACGUAGCGAAAGUUACGCUAAUACCGCAUAUUCUGUGAGCAGGAAAGCAGGGGAUCGCAAGACCUUGCGCUGAUUGAGCGGCCGCGGUCAGAUUAGCUAGUUGGUGAGGUAAAGGCUAACCAAGGCGACGAUCUGUAGCGGGUCUGAGAGGAUGAUCCGCCACACUGGAACUGAGACACGGUCCAUACUCCUACGGGCGGCAGCCGUGGGGAAUUUUGGACAAUGGGGGCAACCCUGAUCACGCCAGGCCGCGUGAGUGAAGAAGGCCUUCGGGUUGUAAAGCUCUUUCGGCCGGGAAGAAAUCGCACGGGCUAAUACCCUGUGUGGAUGACGGUACCGGAAUAAGAAGCACCGGCUAACUACGUGCCAGCCGCCGCCGUAAAAC
rnacentral:rRNA from 1 species